GACACGGCUCUCGGCAACGGAUAUCUCGGCUCUCGCAUCGAUGAAGAACGUAGCGAAAUGCGAUACCUGGUGUGAAUUGCAGAAUCCCGCGAACCAUCGAGUCUUUGAACGCAAGUUGCGCCCGAGGCCACCCGGUCGAGGGCACGCCUGCCUGGGCGUCACGC
rnacentral:rRNA from 1 species